rnacentral:rRNA from 1 species
AUGAACGCUGGCGGCGUGCUUAACACAUGCAAGUCGAACGAUGAAGCUGGAGCUUGCUCUGGUGGAUUAGUGGCGAACGGGUGAGUAACACGUGAGUAACCUGCCCUUGACUCUGGGAUAAGCGUUGGAAACGACGUCUAAUACCGGAUACGACCUUCGGAGGCAUCUCCUGGGGGUGGAAAGAAUUUUGGUCAAGGAUGGACUCGCGGCCUAUCAGGUAGUUGGUGAGGUAAUGGCUCACCAAGCCGACGACGGGUAGCCGGCCUGAGAGGGUGACCGGCCACACUGGGACUGAGACACGGGCCAGACUCCUACGGGAGGCAGCAGUGGGGAAUAUUGCACAACGGGCGAAAGCCUGAUGCAGCAACGCCGCGUGAGGGACGACGGCCUUCGGGUUGUAAACCUCUUUUAGUAGGGAAGAAGCGAAAGUGACGGUACCUGCAGAAAAAGCACCGGCUAACUACGU